UACAGAGGGUGCAAGCGUUGUUCGGAAUUAUUGGGCGUAAAGGGCGCGUAGGCGGUUCGGCAAGUCUUCUGUGAAAUCUCUGGGCUCAACUCAGAGUCUGCUGGGGAAACUGCCGGGCUUGAGUGUGGGAGAGGAGAGUGGAAUUCCUGGUGUAGCGGUGAAAUGCGUAGAUAUCAGGAGGAACACCUGAGGCGAAAGCGGCUCUCUGGACCACAACUGACGCUGAGGCGCGAAAGCUAGGGGAGCAAACAGG
rnacentral:rRNA from 1 species